GGCUCUGAGGCAACUCGUGGAGAUCAGAACGUAUUCAUCAGCAAGGUAGUACGUAAAAAUUGGAACAAUAAAGUUACGAAAGUGUUAAAACCGAAGUGAAAUAUCAUCGACCGUUGGAUCGGAUUACGAGGACGGAAAAUUCUUGCAGUUCUCUCGGAAAAAUCGAAACAUCCAACAAAACCACGUGGUUUUCGCUCGCUUCUUAGCCUCGGCCAACUCGGCCCUGAGAGAACGGAGGAGAAAAUUAGGAAAACAAGUCAAACGUCAGGCGAGCGCAGAGGUGAG
rnacentral:misc_RNA from 1 species